AAACAAGAUAUUAAGAGUGGAUGGUGGAUGCCUUGGCAAAGAGAGGCGAUGAAGGACGCACUAGACUGCGAUAAGCUACGGGGAGCUGUCAAGAAGCAUUGAUCCGUAGGUGUCCGAAUGGGGCAACCCAAUCCACAGCAAUGUGGAUUACUCUAUUUCUAUAGAGAGCGAACCUAGCGAAGUGAAACAUCUCAGUAGCUAGAGGAAAAGAAAUCAACGAGAUUCCCUCAGUAGUGGCGAGCGAAAGGGGAAAAGGGCAAACCGGGUGCUUGCACUCGGGGUUGAGGACGGCAACAUUCAAGGGGUUUUUCUAGCAAAGUUGUUUGGAAAGACAAGCCAUAGAAGGUGAUAGCCCUGUAUGCGAAAGGAAAACCCUAGAUAGCCGGAUCCAGAGUAGGCCAGGACACGGGAAAUCCGGGCUGAAGCCGGGGAGACCACUCUCCAACCCUAAAUACUACUACUACACCGAUAGCGCACAAGUACCGUGAGGGAAAGGUGAAAAGAACCGUGGGUAACGGAGUGAAAUAGAACCUGAAACCAUCUACUUACAAUCAUUCAGAGCCCUAUGAUUUAUCAGGGUGAUGGACUGCCUUUUGCAUAAUGAUCCUGCGAGUUGUGGUGUCUGGCAAGGUUAAGUGAAAACGAGCCGUAGCGAAAGCGAGUCUGAAUAGGGCUAUUUAGUCAGACGCUGCAGACCCGAAGCCAAGUGAUCUAUCCAUGGCCAAGUUGAAACGAGUGUAACAGCUUGUGGAGGACUGAACCCGUGCCCAUUGAAACGGGCUGGGAUGAGCUGUGGAUAGGGGUGAAAGGCCAAACAAACUUGGUGAUAGCUGGUUCUCUUCGAAAUAUAUUUAGGUAUAGCCUCAAGUCAUGACAAGAGGGGGUAGAGCUCUGAUUGGGCUAGGGCUGCUCGCCGCAGUACCAAACCCUGUCAAACUGCGAAUACCUUUUGUUGUAUCUUGGGAGUCAGGCGGUGGGUGAUAAAAUCAAUCGUCAAGAGGGAAACAACCCAGACUACCAACUAAGGUCCCCAAGUUCUAUUCUGAGUGGAAAAAGAUGUGUGGUUACUCAAACAACCAGGAGGUUGGCUUAGAAGCAGCCAUCCUUUAAAGAAAGCGUAACAGCUCACUGGUCUAGUGAUCAUGCGCUGAAAAUAUAACGGGGCUAAGAUAGACACCGAAGUUGUAGAUUNAGGGCAAACCGGGUGCUUGCACUCGGGGUUGAGGACGGCAACAUUCAAGGGGUUUUUCUAGCAAAGUUGUUUGGAAAGACAAGCCAUAGAAGGUGAUAGCCCUGUAUGCGAAAGGAAACCCCUAGAUAGCCGGAUCCAGAGUAGGCCAGGACACGGGAAAUCCGGGCUGAAGCCGGGGAGACCACUCUCCAACCCUAAAUACUACUCUUUGACCGAUAGCGCACAAGUACCGUGAGGGAAAGGUGAAAAGAACCGUGGGUAACGGAGUGAAAUAGAACCUGAAACCAUCUACUUACAAUCAUUCAGAGCCCUAUGAUUUAUCAGGGUGAUGGACUGCCUUUUGCAUAAUGAUCCUGCGAGUUGUGGUGUCUGGCAAGGUUAAGUGAAAACGAGCCGUAGCGAAAGCGAGUCUGAAUAGGGCUAUUUAGUCAGACGCUGCAGACCCGAAGCCAAGUGAUCUAUCCAUGGCCAAGUUGAAACGAGUGUAACAGCUUGUGGAGGACUGAACCCGUGCCCAUUGAAACGGGCUGGGAUGAGCUGUGGAUAGGGGUGAAAGGCCAAACAAACUUGGUGAUAGCUGGUUCUCUUCGAAAUAUAUUUAGGUAUAGCCUCAAGUCAUGACAAGAGGGGGUAGAGCUCUGAUUGGGCUAGGGCUGCUCGCCGCAGUACCAAACCCUGUCAAACUGCGAAUACCUUUUGUUGUAUCUUGGGAGUCAGGCGGUGGGUGAUAAAAUCAAUCGUCAAGAGGGAAACAACCCAGACUACCAACUAAGGUCCCCAAGUUCUAUUCUGAGUGGAAAAAGAUGUGUGGUUACUCAAACAACCAGGAGGUUGGCUUAGAAGCAGCCAUCCUUUAAAGAAAGCGUAACAGCUCACUGGUCUAGUGAUCAUGCGCUGAAAAUAUAACGGGGCUAAGAUAGACACCGAAGUUGUAGAUUGCUCUUUUAGAGCAGUGGUAGAAGAGCGUUCUGUGCAGCACUGAAGGCAUACCGGUAAGGAGUGUUGGAGCGCACAGAAGUGAGCAUGCAGGAAUGAGUAGCGAUAAGAUGCGUAAGAAUCGUAUCCGCCGUAAAUCUAAGGUUUCCUACGCGAUGUUCGUCAUCGUAGGGUUAGUCGGGUCCUAAGCCAAGUCCAAAAGGGGUAGGCGAUGGCAAAUGGGUUAAUAUUCCCAUACCAAUUGCAAUGUGCGAUGGGAGGACGCAUAAAGUUAGGCGAGCCAGCUGAUGGAAGUGCUGGUCGAAGGGUGUAGAUUGGGAGAGUGGCAAAUCCGCUCCUGUAUUUGAAACCUGACAGGCUCUCUAAGACCUUCGGGUCAAGGGGAGAAUCGCUGAUACUAUCGUGCCAAGAAAAGUCUCUAAGUUUAGUUGCAAUUGUCCGUACCGCAAACCGACACAGGUAGAUGAGAUGAGUAUUCUAAGGCGCGUGGAUGAACUCUCUUUAAGGAACUCUGCAAACUAGCACCGUAAGUUCGCGAUAAGGUGUGCCUACUCUAAGUAGGUCUCAGCAAAGAGUCCCUCCCGACUGUUUACCAAAAACACAGCACUUUGCCAACUCGUAAGAGGAAGUAUAAGGUGUGACGCCUGCCCGGUGCUCGAAGGUUAAGAGGAUGGGUUAGCCGCAAGGCGAAGCUUUGAAUUGAAGCCCGAGUAAACGGCGGGCGGAACUAUAACGGGCCUAAGGGAGG
rnacentral:rRNA from 1 species